AGUGAACGCUGGCGGCGUGCUUAACACAUGCAAGUCGAACGGGAAACGGAUUUAGCUUGCUAAAUUGCAGUCUAAGUGGCGCACGGGUGAGUAAUGUAUAGAUAAUAUGCCUUUUACUAAGGGAUAACAGUUGGAAACGGCUGCUAAUACCUUAUAUGCCUUUAAUACAUAAGUAUGCAAGGGAAAGAUUUAUUGGUAAAAGAUUAGUCUGUAUUGUAUCAGUUAGUUGGUGAGGUAAUGGCUCACCAAGACUAUGACGCAUAACUGUUUUGAGAGGAUGAUCAGUCACACUGGAACUGAGACACGGUUCAGACUCCUACGGGAGGCAGCAGUGGGGAAUAUUGCACAAUGGGGGAAACCCUGAUGCAGCAACGCCGCGUGGAGGAUGACACAUUUCGGUGCGUAAACUCCUUUUAUAUAGGAAGAUAAUGACGGUACUAUAUGAAUAAGCACCGGCUAACUCCGUGCCAGCCGCCGCAGUAA
rnacentral:rRNA from 1 species